rnacentral:ncRNA from 2 species
UGACAAAUUGAAUAUUGCAUCCAUAUAUUCUCGAUAAUAGGGUUCGAGAGUUUCUACACAAAGGCCGUAAAUCUUUGGACUAUGGGUGAAUCCUUAGUAACC